rnacentral:rRNA from 1 species
AUUGAACGCUGGCGGCAUGCCUCACACAUGCAAGUCGAACGGUAACGGGCCUUCGGGUGCCGACGAGUGGCGAACGGGUGAGUAAUGCAUCGGAACGUACCUUUCAGUGGGGGAUAACGUAGCGAAAGUUACGCUAAUACCGCAUAUUCUGUGCGCAGGAAAGCAGGGGAUCGCAAGACCUUGCGCUGAUUGAGCGGCCGAUGUCAGAUUAGCUAGUUGGUGAGGUAAAGGCUCACCAAGGCGACGAUCUGUAGCGGGUCUGAGAGGAUGAUCCGCCACACUGGAACGGAGACACGGUCCAGACUCCUACGGGAGGCAGCAGUGGGGAAUUUUGGACAAUGGGGGCAACCCUGAUCCAGCCAUGCCGCGUGAGUGAAGAAGGCCUUCGGGUUGUAAAGCUCUUUCGGCCGGGAAGAAAUCGCAUGGGUUAAUACCCUGUGCGGAUGACGGUACCGGCAUAAGAAGCACCGGCUAACUACGUGCCAGCAGCCGCCGUAAGAC